rnacentral:SRP_RNA from 1 species
GCCAGGUAUGGUGGUGCGUGCCUGUAGUUCUAGCUACUUGAGAGGCUGAGGCAGGAGGAUUGCUUGAGCCCAGGAGUUCAAGGCUACAGUGAGCUAUGAUUGUGCCACAGCACUCCAGCCUGGGCAACAGAGUGAGACCCUGUUUCUA